rfam:Dipodomys ordii contig_32055, whole genome shotgun sequence.
GGGAAAGUAGCUCAGUGGUAGAGUGCUUGCCUUGCAUGCAUGAGGCCCUGGGUUCGAUUCCUCAGCACCA